rnacentral:lncRNA from 1 species
UGAGGUCGGAUGUCGUCUAUGGAGGCUAUCAGAGUUUCAGCGUCAGGUGGUAUCUCUAUUAUUUUUGUUACAUCAGCUAUGUGUGAUUCUAUUCUCUGCUUUACAUACCAGUACAUUUUUAUUCGUACUGAUAUCACGUUGCCUGGGGACACUGUAUUUUGUUCGUGCGUGUAGGUCCAUGUAGGGACUCUGAUCGACCCCUCUGCUAGGAUUUCGAGGUUCAGCUGUGAGUUGGUAAGCUCCAUCUCUUCCUGGAGCUUUCAUAGGGUGGUUACUUUUGUUGUACAGUUUGGGUAU